AGUUUGUCCAAGGGUUGUGGGUUAUUGUUAAACUGUUAAGUUGGUUGAUAUUGUCUCCCUUCCACAUCCAUACUUGACUAGCUGUAA
ensembl:misc_RNA Y_RNA Y RNA